rnacentral:rRNA from 1 species
UACGGAGGGUGCAAGCGUUGUCCGGAUUUAUUGGGUUUAAAGGGUGCGUAGGCGGCUUUUUAAGUCAGUGGUGAAAUACAGCAGCUCAACUGUUGAGGUGCCAUUGAUACUGAAGAGCUUGAGUACAGAUGAGGUAGGCGGAAUUUAUGGUGUAGCGGUGAAAUGCAUAGAUACCAUAAAGAACACCGAUUGCGAAGGCAGCUUACUAAGCUGUAACUGACGCUGAGGCACGA